rnacentral:rRNA from 1 species
GGGGCAGCGGGAAGGUUAGCUUGCUAAUCUUUGCCGGCGACCGGCGCACGGGUGAGUAACACGUAUGCAACCUGUCCGGUACAGGGGGAUAAGCGGCGGAAACGCCGUCUAAUACCGCGUGACAACCCGAGGGGGCAUCCCCUUGGGUUCAAAGGAGAGAUCCGGUACCGGCUGGGCAUGCGGCGCAUUAGCUAGUUGGCGGGGCAACGGCCCACCAAGGCGACGAUGCGUAGGGGUUCUGAGAGGAAGGUCCCCCACACUGGAACUGAGACACGGUCCAGACUCCUACGGGAGGCAGCAGUGAGGAAUAUUGGUCAAUGGGCGCAAGCCUGAACCAGCCAAGUUGCGUGAGGGAAGACGGCCCUACGGGUUGUAAACCUCUUUUGCCGGGGAGCAAGCCUGAGCACGUGUGCCCAGGCGGAAAGUACCCGGAGAAAAAGCAUCGGCUAACUCCGUGCCAGCAGCCGCGGUAAUACGGAGGAUGCGAGCGUUAUCCGGAUUUAUUGGGUUUAAAGGGUGCGCAGGCGGGCUGUUAAGCCGGCGGUAAAAAUUCAGGGCUCAACCCCGACGAGCCGUCGGAA